rnacentral:lncRNA from 1 species
CAGAAACCCAGAUUAUUUGAACUUGUAAUAUGGACCAAAUAUUCAAAAGCUACACCAGAAACUUAAAAGAAGCAGAGCACAGAAUUUGUUUCAAAACCGAGCAAAUAACAACAUGACAAGUUCCAAAACCAAGUACAUAACAGAAAUUGUUGUCCAAGAUAAAACCCUGUUGUACUCGUCAACAUUUAUUAUCCAGCUUUGCGGAGAAAAACUCACAAGAACUUCCUGUAUGGCCUACCAUUAUCUUCAUCCUGCAUAUGCUGUUGGAAAAAUUACCAAAUCACUCAGCAAUUCAAUUUGAGAAAUGUACAAAGGGAAAUAAAAAUGGAAAGAAAACUAUCUCUAUUGCACAAUGUUCUUGCAAACAACACAAGACAGAAAUCAAACAAGAACUUGCAACAAAAAAAUGGGAAUCAACAGCUGAAAUUGUUAAAUCAAAUCCUGCAAAUUAAAAAGAAAUUAAAGAGUUUCAAAGGAGGGUUUUUUCUAUUCCUUGCUUUGUCAACUUUUAACCUGUUUUAUUGCUGACGAGUGAAUGCCAGAGAAUAGUUCGCUUUAGUUUCAUACUGAUAACUUUCAUGGGAAGACUACUAUAGACAAUAAUAGAAUAAAAGUUCUUACAUUUUGUCCUUCGCAUGUGUUAAACAAAAAAACAUGAAUAUAGAUGUAUCAAAUAUGUCCUACUGAAAGAACUUUGUUCUUGAUUACCACUACAUUCAAUAUGUGCAUUUUUGUUAUAUUCUUGCCUCGCAGCAUUCGUUGGUUAUACGAAUGUUGUUUUUUUCUAGGGGUGGUUAGACCUAUGUUACAAGGACUUGAGAUAAGGUAAGUGUAGUGCAUUACCAAUUUUGUUACCAAAGCAAUACAUCUCGGCAUAAAAAAUUUAGCAUAGUAAUUGUUAAUAUCAAACCAACCCGAAGAUUUAUUCCACAAAAAAUUUCAUUCAGAAAAAAUUCUGAUUUUCAAAUCCCUUUUUAAAACUACAAAACACUAAGGAAACUAAUCAGAACCCAAAAAAUAGAACUCGACUAAAACAUCAAUUAUCAUGGUCAGGCAGUCAAUCUCAACAAGAAUCUUAUAGCCCCAAAUCAAAUUUAUAAUAUAUGAUCUACAACAGGUAAGAAGAAACAUGGUGCAGCUAACAAAAAGGAAACCUUUUUUUGCAUUAUUGUGCAUCACCAAUUUUGAUACCACAGCAAUAUACAUCACGGCAUAAGAAUGUUAGCUAAAAUCAAGCCAACCCAAGGAUUUACACCACAAAAAGUUUCAGAAGAAAGGCCAACAAUUUAUUUUCAAAACCCUUUUUCAAACUACUAAACCCUAAGGAAAUCAAUAAGAACCCAAUAAACAGAAAUCAACUAAAACAACAAUAGUCGAAAUCAGGCAGUCAAUCUCGACAAAGAAUCGUGCAGACCCAAAUCGAUUAAUCAAACAACACCCCAAAAUCUCCCAUUCAACCAAUUUAAAAAUGCAAUUAAAAAAACCAAAUUAUGAUCGCAAAAAAGAAACCGAAGUCUAAAAAUCGAUAAAAUCAAGACUAAGGUAUAAAAUUAAAGAGAGAUGGGGAAAAAGGGAGAAUACAAAUUCUCGAACAAUGCCCUUGUAGACAAGGACGGGGAUAGCGAUGCCGAAUAUGCCGACGAGAGCGAAGUUGCGGCGAGUCCAGCGAAAGUUAUGCUCCAGAUUCUCUCUCGCACUGCCCCAAUCUUCAAUGAACCUGUUCUUGUUCGCCUCCAUUCCUCCCCCCAUCUUUG